rnacentral:rRNA from 1 species
UGGGGAAUAUUGGACAAUGGGCGCAAGCCUGAUCCAGCCAUGCCGCGUGAGUGAUGAAGGCCCUAGGGUUGUAAAGCUCUUUCACCGGUGAAGAUAAUGACGGUAACCGGAGAAGAAGCCCCGGCUAACUUCGUGCCAGCAGCCGCGGUAAUACGAAGGGGGCUAGCGUUGUUCGGAGUUACUGGGCGUAAAGCGCACGUAGGCGGACUUUUAAGUCAGGGGUGAAAUCCCGGGGCUCAACCCCGGAACUGCCUUUGAUACUGGAAGUCUUGAGUAUGGUAGAGGUGAGUGGAAUUCCGAGUGUAGAGGUGAAAUUCGUAGAUAUUCGGAGGAACACCAGUGGCGAAGGCGGCUCACUGGACCAUUACUGACGCUGAGGUGCGAAAGCGUGGGGAGCAAACAGG